UACGGAGGGUGCAAGCGUUAAUCGGAAUUACUGGGCGUAAAGCGUGCGUAGGCGGUUCGUUAAGUCUGUUGUGAAAGCCCCGGGCUCAACCUGGGAAUGGCAAUGGAUACUGGCGAGCUAGAGUGUGUCAGAGGAUGGUGGAAUUCCCGGUGUAGCGGUGAAAUGCGUAGAGGAUCGGGAGGAACAUCAGUGGCGAAGGCGGCC
rnacentral:rRNA from 1 species